GGUCAGACAACAUGAUCAAGAUAUAGGAACAGUUCCAAGUGAUAUCUCGAACCAGCUGACCAAUCUGGGAAAUAGUGUAACUACGUUGCGACAAGAUGUCACAAACUUGCAACAAAAUCAGGGUUCAACAGACGUAACUCAGCUGCAGUCAAGAUUGACAUCAUUGGAACAGACAGUACAACAAAUACAAGCGUCUGUGAAUACUCUGACAACU